GGGAUGUGGCGGAAUGGUAGACGCGAGGGACUUAAAAUCCCUUGGCAGCAAUGCCGUGAGGGUUCAACUCCCUCCAUCCCC
rnacentral:tRNA from 1 species